rfam:Gossypium arboreum cultivar AKA8401 contig_22449_1, whole genome shotgun sequence.
UAUUAAAAAUCUCAUUUAUUUCUGAUAUUAAAAAUUAACAUAGCUGAUGGAAUAAUUAGAGAAUUACACAGUGAGUUGUAAUGUAUACCUCCUUUUGACGUACAAAGUCAAUUUGUUAACAGCUGAAAUAGAUAGAAUUUUUAAUA